rnacentral:misc_RNA from 1 species
AAGUCGUAACAAGGUUUCCGUAGGUGAACCUGCGGAAGGAUCAUUAACACGUAUCCAACGUUAAACCCCCCGUGAACCUUCAGAGCGUUCUUGCCGCCCGUGACAAUCAGCAAUCCUGGUAAAUCAAGUGGGAAUAUCCGUUAUUGAUUCAGGACCAUAGCGGCAAUUGAGAGCUUUUAUCGUUAGUUUGGCUAGCGACACUUUCUAGGGUAAGGCUUCGCCAUCGCUGGAGGCUCACCACGUAGGCGGCGGACAAACUACAGGGCUAUAUGCCCCCUAAUGACGACCAAGUUAAAUAGGGCCUCUGUCACAUAGCAAGUGCGCCGUGCCAGAGGAAAGUACAACUGUUAACAAUGGAUAUCUUGGUUCUC